AGUGAACGCUGGCGGCAUGCCUAACACAUGCAAGUCGAACGGCAGCACAGUAAGAGCUUGCUCUUACGGGUGGCGAGUGGCGGACGGGUGAGGAAUACAUCGGAUUCUACUUUUUCGUGGGUGAUAACGUAGGGAAACUUACGCUAAUACCGCAUACGACCUACGGGUGAAAGCAGGGGAUCUUCGGACCUUGCGCGAUUGUAUUAGCCGAUGUCGGAUUAGCUAGUUGGCGGGGUAAAGGCCCACCUAGGCGACGAUCCGUAGCUGGUCUGAGAGGAUGAUCAGCCACACGGGAAAUGAGACACGGUACAGACUCCGAAGGGAGGCAGCAGUGGGGAAUAUUGGGAAAUGGGCGAAAGCCUGAUCGAGCAAUACCGCGUGAGUGAAGAAGGCCUUAGGGUUGGAAAGCGCUGUUGUUGGGAAAGAAAAGAAGCAGUUUAACACACGGCUGUAAUGACGGUACCGAAAGAAUAAGCACCGGCUAACUUCGUG
rnacentral:rRNA from 1 species